AGCAGCCGCGGUAAUUCCAGCUCCAAUAGCGUAUAUUAAAGUUGUUGCAGUUAAAAAGCUCGUAGUUGAAUUUCGGGAUCAAGUCGUCGGUCGUGCUUAGGUACGUACUGGCGUCAUUGAUUUCUCCCUUCUGACGAACCAUGAUGUCAUUAAUUUGGUGUUAUGGGAAAUCAGGACUGUUAACUUUGAAAAAAUUAGAGUGUUUAAAGCAGGCUCACGCUUGAAUACAUUAGCAUGGAAUAAUGAAAUAGGACGUUCGAUCCUAUUUUGUUGGUUUUAGGAUCAACGUAAUGAUUAAUAGGGAUAGUUGGGGGCAUUAGUAUUCAAUUGUCAGAGGUGAAAUUCUUGGAUUUAUUGAAGACUAACUACUGCGAAAGCAUUUGCCAAGGAUGUUUUCAUUAAUCAAGAACGAAAGUUAGGGGAUCGAAGACGAUCAGAUACCGUCGUAGU
rnacentral:rRNA from 1 species